UACGAAGGGGGCUAGCGUUGCUCGGAAUCACUGGGCGUAAAAGGCGCGUAGGCGGCCAUUCAAGUCGGGGGGUGAAAGCCUGUGGCUCAACCACAGAAUUGCCUUCGAUACUGUUUGGCUUGAGUUUGGUAGAGGUUGGUGGAACUGCGAAUGUAGAGGUGAAAUUCGUAGAUAUUCGCAAGAACACCAGUGGCGAAGGCGGCCAACUGGACCAAUACUGACGCUGAGGCGCG
rnacentral:rRNA from 1 species